UACGUAGGGUGCAAGCGUUGUCCGGAAUUAUUGGGCGUAAAGAGCUCGUAGGCGGCUUGUCGCGUCGAAUGUGAAAACUCGGGGCUCAACUCCGAGCUUGCAUUCGAUACGGGCAGGCUAGAGUUCGGUAGGGGGAGACUGGAAUUCCUGGUGUAGCGGUGAAAAUGCGCAGAUAUCAGGAGGAACACCGGUGGCGAAGGCGGGGUCUCUGGGGCCGAUACUGACGCUGAGGAGCGAAAAGCGUGGGGGGAGCGAAACAGGG
rnacentral:rRNA from 1 species